GACGAACGCUGGCGGCGUGCUUAACACAUGCAAGUCGAACGAAGUGGCGAACGGGUGAGUAACGCGUAAUCAACCUGCCCUUCGGAGGGGGACAACAGUUGGAAACGACUGCUAAUACCGCAUACUGAAGGAGGGGAUUGCGUCGGAUUGGCUAGUUGGGGGGGUAACGGCCCACCAAGGCGAUGAUCAGUAGCCGGGCUGGUGAGGUGGACCGCCACCUUGGGAAUGAGACAAGGCCCCGACUCCUACGGGAGGCAGCAGGUGGGAAUCUUCCGAAAUGGACGAAAGGCUGACGAGGCAACGCCGCGUGAGUGAUGACGGCCUUCGGGUUGGAAAGCUCUGUUAAUCGGGACGCGGUACCGGAAUAGAAAGCCACGGCUAACUACGUGCCAGCAGCCGCGGUAAUUC
rnacentral:rRNA from 1 species